rnacentral:lncRNA from 1 species
AGGAUCCAGUGGAGGUCUCUGAGGCCCUGGGAGAUGGUAGAGCCACACCAUGAAGGUGCCUGGGUCCCUGAAUGACUGCAUGGAGCUCACUCUACAUUGGACUGUGACACAAGCAAGAAAGGUAGACACUUAGGAGUGGAAUUGCUGAGUCAUACAGUAAUUCUAUGUUUAACAUUUUGAGGAGCUGCCAAACUGUUUCCAAAAUGGCUGCAACAUUCUAUAUUUCCAUCAGCAAGAAGGGCCCAUGUGGCAAGGAACUAAGGGCAGUCUCUGGCCAAAAGCCCACAAGUAACUGAAUUCUGCCAAUAACCAUGAGUUUGGAAGUGGAUCCUUCCCCAUUCGAGUCUCAGAUGAGUCCCCAGCCCUGGCCAACAUCUUCAUGUGCUGUGAGAGACCAUUAAGCAGAGGACCCAGCUAAGCUCUGCCCAGAUGCUCAAUCCACAGAAAAAGAUACUAAGUGUGUGUUGUUUUAAGCUGCUACAUUUGCAGUGGUUUGAUAUGCAGCAAUAGAUAACUGAUACUGCUGUUAAUUGCUUUCUAUUACAAUCAGCUGGAAUAACUGCCCUUGUGCCUACAAUCAGAGAUGUAUUUUGGGAUCAAUUCCCAGACCUGAGAUUGUUCAGUCUAAGGGUAAGGAUAUUUAAUGUGGAAAAAUAACACUAAAUUGUCCUCCAAAAAUAUUAUCAAGUGACAAUCAUGCAAACAGUAUGAAAGUUCCUACUUCUC